rnacentral:rRNA from 1 species
AUUGAACGCUGGCGGCAGGCUUAACACAUGCAAGUCGGACGAGUGGCGAACGGGUGAGUAAUAUAUUGGAACGUACCUAGUAAUGGGGGAUAACCAAUCGAAAGAUUGGCUAAUACCGCAUAUUAUUGGAGCGGCCCAUAUCUGAUUAGCUAGUUGGUGGGGUAAAGGCCUACCAAGGCGCCGAUCAGUAGCGGGUCUGAGAGGAUGAUCAGUCACACUGGAACUUAGACACGGCCCAGACUCCUACGGGAGGCAGCAGUGGGGAAUUUUGGACAAUGGGCGCAAGCCUGAUCCAGCCAUGCCGCGUGUCUGAAGAAGGCCUUCGGGUUGUAAAGGACUUUUGUUUGGGAAGCGGUACCUAAAGAAUAAGCACCGGCUAACUUCGUGCCAGCAGCCGCGGUAAUUC